UGAUGCUGACCGGCUAACGGGUGCGGAACAAGGCAGAACCUUCCUUCGAGCAGUGGAAUAGCCCACAGAAAUAUGCAUUUAUACCCCACAGCAUACCGGAGUGGCAUCACUUUGUUAUUCAAGACCUAUCACUUUAAGAUGGCUGUGCGGCUGAUUAGGUAGUUGGUGGGGGAACGGCCCACCAAGCCUGCGAUCAGUAACUGGUGUGAGAGCACGACCAGUCACACGGGCACUGAGACACGGGCCCGACUCCUACGGGAGGCAGCAGUAAGGAAUAUUGGUCAAUGGGCGAAAGUCUGAUCCAGCCAUGCCGCGUGAGUGAAGAAGGCCUUCGGGUUGUAAAGCUCUUUCGUCCGGGAAGAAAUCGCAUCAGUUAAUACCUGGUGGGAUGACGGUACCGGAAUAAUAAGCACCGGCUA
rnacentral:rRNA from 1 species